rnacentral:lncRNA from 1 species
ACACUAGAAUAAAUCAAUAUAUGUCACUCUUUCCAAACAUUCUUCAUGGCCAUGUGGCUCCCUCCAUCUUACCAUCAACCCCAAUUAUGCAUGAAAUAUUUGCCACUGACUUCAAGCAUAGAUAUAACUAGCUACCAUCAAUCAGUCUGUUUAUAUCAUCAAUAUUUUUUCUCUAACCUUUCUUUUUUUUUCAAUUUUGGCA